AGAAGAAUCUCACUCCCAGCUGAGUCUCUGAUCUCUCUCACCCACUCUCUCUCUCUCUCACCUCCAAUUCCAGGAAAAGCAGUAUUGGAGAGGAGGAAUCGAACUUAGAACCUCGAAUACAUAUGUAAAUGCUUUUAACCACUUGAGUUACAAACCUCUUGCAACAUAGUAGCAUUUGUUUUAGAGUAGUGUUUCAUUUGUUUAUAUCGUGAAAAUUAGUGCAUUUCGAAUUUCAUUUA